rnacentral:lncRNA from 1 species
UUUGUUUUAGAUUACCUAGAAUUAAUACCAUUGGGCUUUUUAACAUAGCACAAAAUCGUCUUCCGUGGGAGUUACCAGCACCAGCUGUCGACGUCUUUACUUUCUGUUUUGUUUGAUGUUCUAUGAACAGAGGAUUAGAGGGAGAGACGAAAUAUAGUUUAGGAUAGAAAGGGAAAUGGUUUAUGAUGCAAACUCAGAGUAAUAUGGUUAAAACAUUUGAUCCUCUUACAGGAUUUGCAAAUCGGGAAAGAUUUUAUUCUCCAUUCCAGCCCAAUUUUGACUACUAGAUUGUUGAUAAACUCAAAGAGGCCAAGGGUCAUCUUUGCUACUUGCCACUCACAAAUAUUCGAGCUCUUCUGGAGACAUGGUUGAAGAUAGAGUGUGGCAACGAAGGUCAUGCCAUCUGUAGAGGAGCCCCUUUAACUGGCUGCAGUGUUUAGAGACUUCACACCAAGCCUUUGCUCCAUGAAGUGUGUCCCCAAGAUUGACCCGGAGCCUAUUCUACAGGAGAUAACCCCCACUGGGGUGAUGAAUGUGUACGUUCAGACGAGGGAUCCAGAAGCGGAGGAAUGACGCUUUCCAGAAGGACGUGUCAGGGUUAAUUACGAAGGAAGUAACUAAAGUACAGAGGACCAGGACACGACGUCUGUCUUUGAGAGGCUGGCAUGGAGGAGGCAGAGCGGUGAAGCGGAGAGAAUGUGACCUUGGAGUCAGACGGACCUAUUUUGAUUUCUUACCGCACCCAAUCAAGAUCAUUAACUUCUGUGAACGUUCAUCACAGUCUUAAAGGAAGAUAAUAGCUCACUCUGUGUGGUUCCUGUGAAGACUGGACGGGACCUUACACACUGCUUGCCCCAUUCCACAUUCAUGACGAAAUAAAUGGUUAGAAUCAUUAUGUGUAUUGUUUGAA